rnacentral:rRNA from 1 species
GACGUAGGGGGCGAGCGUUGUCCGGAUUUAUUGGGCGUAAAGCGUGCGUAGGCGGCUGCGCAAGUCGGUUGUGAAACCCCGGGGCUCAACCCCGGAACUGCAUCCGAUACUGCGUGGCUAGAGGUAGGUAGGGGAGAUCGGAAUUCCUGGUGUGAGCGGUGAAUGACGCAGAUAUCAGGAGGAACACCGGUGGUGAAGGCGGAUCUCUGGGCCUUACCUGACGCUCAGGCACGAAAGCUAGGGGAGCGAACAGG